UUUAUACUUCAGUAAAUACAAAGUAAUUUCCCCAGAGGAAGAGAGUGUUAACAUGGGGGAAAAGGGUGGGGAGGGAGAGAGAAAUCAAUAAUGGUGUCACAAGGGGAUGAUGCCUGAGCUGUGCUUUGAAACAUGUUAGGGAUUCUAUGAGGUGCAUGGUAACCCACAUACACAAAGGCAGAAAAAGAACAUCAUAUACAAGAAAAAUAGCUAAAAGGAUGAUACCUAAAUGUUAAAGGGCAUCUUGCCGAAUCUCCCACAGCCAAUGAAAAUUACACCUCAAUAAUGGUUGCACUCCUCCUGACUUUUCUACUCACCAUGCCCUCAGAAACUUCUUCAUCCUGGAACAUCACCUAACCCUGGAAUGUCCACCUUGGAAGUACCUUCUACUCCUCCCUCUGCUUGGGUGGAUCCUCCUAGAACCUCCAGUUAAGGGCGCCCAGACCAGAUAUUUCUUCAUUUCCUACUAGAUUGCAAUACAGAUUUCUCUGUCAUGCCUUGGAGCCAGUUUCCUUUCUCACCUAUCCCUUUCCCACUUUUUUGCAUGGUCUUCUAAGUUGUUCUUCUCUACCCCCCCCACCACAUUGGAAUAUAAACUCCUUGAGAGUCA